GAUCUUGUAUAUAUAAUGAUUCUUGGGUAUGAAAUAUGAUUUUUAUGUAUAUUAGUUUAGAUUAGAUCUAAUUAGAUUUAAAGAGUUUAGAUCUGUAAUCUUUCUUUUCACUGCAUAAAAAUUUUAAAUCUUUGCAUGCAUGUAUGUUGCCAUGUGAUAGUGAUUCCUUCAACUUCAUCAACUUGGGCAUGUCCCAAAGAGAGGGG
rnacentral:lncRNA from 1 species